rnacentral:RNase_P_RNA from 3 species
CCAGAUGGCCGGAUGGCCGCCGCGACGCGCAAGCGCCGGGGAGGAAAGUCCGGGCUUCACGGGAAUAUGGUACCGGGUAACGCCCGGCGGGGGCGACCCCAGGGACAGUGCAACAGAAAGCAAACCGCCCGUACAUGCCGAAAGGCGUCUGCGGGCAAGGGUGAAAGGGUGCGGCAAGAGCGCACCGCGCUUCCGGUAACGGAGGUGGCACGGCAAACCCUGCCAGAAGCAAGACCGAAUAGGGACGGCGGAUGUGAAACAGGCAUCCACACGCAUUCCCGCGUGCCGUCCGGGUAGGUUGCUUGAGGUGCAUGGCAACAUGCAUCCUAGAGGAAUGGUCAUCCAUCGCCGCGCAAGCAGCGAAGACAAAACCCGGCUUACAGGCCGUCUGGCGCU